rnacentral:misc_RNA from 1 species
UUUCCGUAGGUGAACCUGCGGAAGGAUCAUUAAAGAGUAUAUGCCCUUCGGGGUAGAUCUCCCACCCUUUGUUUAUAUUACCUUUGUUGCUUUGGCAGGCCCGUCUUCGGACCACCGGGUUCGGCUGGUCAGUGCUUGCCAGAGGACCCAAAACUCUUAUUAUUAAUGUCGUCUGAGUACUAUAUAAUAGUUAAAACUUUCAACAACGGAUCUCUUGGUUCUG